CCUACGGGAGGCAGCAGUGGGGAAUAUUGGGCAAUGGAGGCAACUCUAACCCAGCAACGCCGCGUGAAUGAUGAAGGUCUUCGGAUUGUAAAGUUCUGUGAUGGGGGAUGAACACAAUGACGGUACCCCAAUAGCAAGCCACGGCUAACUACGUGCCAGCAGCCGCGGUAAUACGUAGGUGGCAAGCGUUAUCCGGAAUGACUGGGCGUAAAGGGUGCGUAGGUGGUUUAGUAAGUUGGCGGUGUAAUUCCGGGGCUCAACCUCGGCGCUACCGCCAAAACUAUUAGACUAGAGUGCAGGAGGGGUAAGUGGAAUUCCUAGUGUAGCGGUGGAAGGCGUAGAGAUUAGGAGGAACAUCAGGGGCGAAGGCGACUUACUGGACUGUAACUGACACUGAGGCACGAAAGCGUGGGGAGCAAACAGGAUUAGAUACCCCAGUAGUC
rnacentral:rRNA from 1 species